AAGCCCAGCUUGCUGGGUGGAUGAGUGGCGAACGGGUGAGUAACACGUGGGUAAUCUGCCCUGUACUCUGGGAUAAGCCUGGGAAACUGGGUCUAAUACCGGAUAGGACACACUGCCGCAUGGUGGUGUGUGGAAAGCUCCGGCGGUACAGGUUGAGCCCGCGGCCUAUCAGCUUGUUGGUGGGGUGAUGGCCUACCAAGGCGACGACGGGUAGCCGGCCUGAGAGGGUGACCGGCCACACUGGGACUGAGACACGGCCCAGACUCCUACGGGAGGCAGCAGUGGGGAAUAUUGCACAAUGGGCGCAAGCCUGAUGCAGCGACGCCGCGUGGGGGAUGACGGCCUUCGGGUUGUAAACCCCUUUCGCCAGGGACGAAGCGUAAGUGACGGUACCUGGAGAAGAAGCACCGGCCAACUACGUGCCAGCAGCCGCGGUAAUACGUAGGGUGCAAGCGUUGUCCGGAAUUAUUGGGCGUAAAGAGCUCGUAGGCGGUGUGUCACGUCUGCCGUGAAAACCUGCGGCUUAACCGUGGGCGUGCGGUGGAUACGGGCAUCACUUGAGUUCGGUAGGGGAGACUGGAAUUCCUGGUGUAGCGGUGGAAUGCGCAGAUAUCAGGAGGAACACCGGUGGCGAAGGCGGGUCUCUGGGCCGAUACUGACGCUGAGGAGCGAAAGCGUGGGGAGCGAACAGGAUUAGAUACCCUGGUAGUCCACGCCGUAAACGUUGGGCGCUAGGUGUGGGGCGCUGUUCACGUGUCCCGUGCCGUAGCUAACGCAUUAAGCGCCCCGCCUGGGGAGUACGGCCGCAAG
rnacentral:rRNA from 1 species